AGAUUGCAAGAAGAUCAUUGAUGGCGGACGAAGAAAGCGGGAAAUAGCCAAUAGGUCGUCGACAUGAUCCUUCCCAUCGCUUAUUAUAAAUACUUCAUCCUCCAUGGCUGAAGAGAGGCACCACAGCCGCGGUCUCUUCCACCACAAGAAGGACGAUGAUGACAAGCCCCUGGAUUCCUCCUACUCCGACACCGCUUAUGGUGGCGACAGGCCUUCUUCUUACUCCUCCGACAAACCCUCCGGAGGCUACGGCGACACGGAUUCAGGUUACAGAAAGACAGGCUACUCCGGCGAUGAGCCGUCUGGUGGCUACAAGAGUGGUGGCGGCUACGGUGGCACCGGUGGCGGGUAUGGUGAGUCUGAGAAGGUCGGGGGAUACGGCGGUGGUGCCGGUGGAUACUCUGAAAAAACCAGCGGUGGUGGGUACGGCGAAACUGAGAAGGUCGGGGGAUAUGGCGGCGGUGCCGGUGGAUAUUCCGACAGCACCACCGGCGGAGGGUACGGUGAGACUGAGAAAGUUGGAGGGUAUGGAGGUGCUGGAGGAUACUCUGAUAAGACCACCGGUGGUGGGUACGGUGAGAGUGAGAAAACCGGGGAGUACGGUUCCGGAGGCGGUGGUGGGUACGGCGGCGAGAGUGAGAAGUCUGAGGUGGAUUACAAGAAGGAGGAGAAGCACCACAAGCACCUUGAGGAGCUUGGCGCACUUGGCACUGUAGCUGCUGGUGCUUAUGCCGUGUAUGAGAAGAACCAGGCGGAUAAAGACCCGGAGAAUGCUCAGAGGCACAAGAUAGCAGAGGGGGUUGCGGCGGCGGCGGCGGUGGGAGCCGGGGGGUUCGCCUUCCACGAACACCAUGAGAAGAAGGAAGCAAAGGAGCAAGGGAAGGAAGACGACGGUGAAACUCAUGAAAAGAAGCACCACCAUCUCUUCGGCUGAUGGAUCAUACGAGCAUAUACAUAUAUGGGUGGACGUCCAUCGUCUUCUGCUUUGAUCUGCUUCUGGCUUUUCUUCUGAUCGAUUUGAGUCUGUUGUAUGUUUUAUGCAUCUUUAAUUCUCGCACUUUACUUGGCUCCACCAUGUGUGUCGCUGAAUAACCCUUCCCUUGUGUAUGUGAGUGGUCUGUAGAUUGCUUUUCUUGCUGUUGCUUUCAUAAUUUCAUACAUCUAUAUAUAUAUAUGUAUGUCC